rnacentral:tRNA from 1 species
GCCCAGGUGGUGGAAUUGGUAGACACGCAGGACUUAAAAUCCUGUGCCCUCACGGGCGUGCGGGUUCAAGUCCCGCCCCGGGUA